rnacentral:rRNA from 1 species
CGCCCGCUCAGAAACUCAAAGGAAUUGACGGGGGCCCGCACAAGCGGAGGAGCAUGUGGUUUAAUUCGAUGAUACGCGAGGAACCUUACCUGGGCUCGAACGUAAGAUGACUGUAGGUGAAAGCUUACAUCUCUUCGGAGCAUUUUACGAGGUGCUGCAUGGUUGUCGUCAGCUCGUGCCGUGAGGUGUCGGGUUAAGUCCCAUAACGAGCGCAACCCCCAUCAUUAGUUGCCAUCAGGUCAAGCUGGGGACUCUAAAGGAACUGCCUACGCAAGUAGUGAGGAAGGCGGGGAUGACGUCAAAUCAGCACGGCCCUUACGUCCAGGGCUACACACGUGCUACAAUGGCCGAUACAGAGGGCAGCUACCUGGUGACAGGAUGCAAAUCUCCAAAGUCGGUCUCAGUUCGGAUCGGAGUCUGCAACCCGACUCCGUGAAGUUGGAUUCGCUAGUAAUCGCGCAUCAGCCAUGGCGCGGUGAAUACGUUCCCGGGCCUU